UAUGGGAUUUUGAAGUCUGUGGGAUUUUGGGGCAUUUUAUGGGAUUUUGGGGCCAUUCUGUGGGAUUUUGAAGUCAGCCCAUAGGAUUUCGGGGCCAUUCUGUGGGAUUUCGGGGCCUUUUUAUGGGAUUUGGGGUCAUUCUAUGGGAUUUUGAAGUCAGCCCGUAGGAUUUUGGGGCCAUUUUAUGGGAUUUUGGGGCCAUUCUGUGGGAUUUUGAAGUCAAUCCAUGGGGUUUUGGGGCCAUUUUGUGGGAUUUUGGGGUCGUUCUGUGAGAUUUGGGGUCCAUUCUAUGGGAUUUGGGGCCUUUCUAUGGGAUUUUGAAGUCGAUCCAUGGGGUUUUGGGUCCGUUCUGUGGGAUUUUGGGUCCAUUUUGUGGGAUUUUGAAAUCCAUAGGAUUUUGGGGCCAUUCUGUGGGAUUUUGGGGCCCAUUCUGUGGGAUUUUGGGGUCAUUCUAUGGGGUUUGGAGUCCAUUCUAUGGGACUUUGGGUUCCUUUUUUGCACUUUUGGGGCCAUUUCCGUGGGAUUCUGGGGCCAUUUCUGUGGGAUUUUGAGGACAAUCCAUAGGAUUUUGGGUCCAUUCUAUGGGAUUUCGGAUCCCUUCUAUGAAUUUUAGGGUCCAUUCUGUGGGAUUUUUGGGUCCAUUUUGGGGGAUUUUGGAGUCAAUCCAUGGGAUUUGGGGUCCAUUCCUUGGGAUUUUGAGGGCAAUCAUUGGGGUUUUGGGUCCGUUCUGUGGGAUUUGGGGCCAUUCUGUGGGAUUUUGACUCAUUUUUAUGCAUUUUUGGGACAUUCUGCAUCCAUUCUGGGGGAUUUUGGGGUCAAUCCAUGGGAUUUUGGGUUCGUUGUAUGGGAUUUUGGAGUCAAUCCAUGGGAUUUUGGGUCUGUUCUUUGGGAUUGGGAUUUUGGGGUCAAUCCAUGGAAAUUGGAUUUCGUUGUAUGGGAUUUUUGAGUCAGUCCAUGGGAUUUUGGGUCUAUUUCAUGGGAUUGGGAUUUUGGGUGCAUUUCUUUGGGAUUUUGGAGUCAAUCCAUGGGAUUUUGGAUUUGUUGAAUGGGAUUUUGGAGUCAAUCCAUGGGAUUUUGGAGUCAAACCAUGGGAUUUGGGGUCUAUUCUUUGGGAUUGCGAGUUUGGGUCCUUUCUUUGGGAUUUUGGGUCCAUUCUGUGGGAUUUUGGGGUUCGUUGUAUGGGAUUUUGGAGUCAAUCCAUGGGAUUUGGGGUCCGUUCACUUGGGAUUUUGGGUCCAUUUCUUUGGGAUUUUGGGGUCAAUCUAUGGGAUUUGGGGUCCGUUCACUUGGGAUUUUGUGUCCAUUUCUUGGGAUUUUGGCCUUGUAUGGGAUUUUGGGUCCAUUCUGUGGGAUUUUGGAGUCAAUCCUUGGGAUUCUGGCCUCAUUGGGAUUUUGGAGUCAAUCAUGGGAUUUUGGGUUCGUUGUAUGGGAUUUUGCAGUCAAUCAUGGGAUUCUGGCCUCAUUGAUUGGGAUUUUGGAGUCAGUCCAUGGGAUUUUGGGUCCGUUCCUUGGGAUUUUGGGUCCAUUUCUUUGGGAUUUUGGGGUCAAUCUAUGGGAUUUUGGGUCCGUUCACUUGGGAUUUUGGCUCCAUUUCUUUGGGAUUUUGGCCUCAUCGUAUGGGAUUUUGGCCUCAUCGUAUGGGAUUUUGGCCUCAUCGUAUGGAUUUUGGCCUCAUCGUAUGGGAUUUUGGCCUCAUCGUAUGGGAUUUUGGCCUCAUCGUAUGGGAUUUUGGCUCCAUUCCUUGGGAUUUUGGAGUCAAUCCACGGGAGCUCGGGUCUAUUCCUUGGGAUUGGGACUUUGGCCCCACUCUCCAUGAUUUCCCCACAUUUCCCCCCCAUUCCACCCCAUUUCCUCACCUCCCCCCUGCUGUAGCCCCCAGCGUUUCCCAUUUUCAGCCCUUUUAACCCAUUUCUUCCCCCUUUCCCACCCCAGUUCUACCUGAGGGAGGCCGACGUGGGGCAGAACCGAGCCGAGGCGACGCUGCCCAGGCUGGCGGAGCUCAACGCCUACGUGGGGGUCAGCAGCAGCACGGAGCCCCUGAGCGAGGAGCUCCUGCAGCCCUUCCAGGUACCUGAACGGCCCCAUAGAAACCCCAUAACGGCCCCAUAGGGACCCCAUAGUGUGAGCCACAGUGUGACCCCAUAACUGCCCCAUAGAGACCCUAUAAAGACCCCAUAGAGACCCCAUAGCAGCACGGAGCCCCCGAGCGAGGAGCUCCUGCAGCCCUUCCAGGUACCAUAGAGACCCCAUAGAAACCCCAUAACGGCCCCAUAGGGACCCCAUAGUGUCACCCCACAGUGUGACCCCAUAACUGCCCCAUAGAGACCCUAUAGAGACCCCAUAG
rnacentral:lncRNA from 1 species